rnacentral:rRNA from 1 species
CCUACGGGAGGCUGCAGUGGGGAAUAUUGCACAAUGGGCGCAAGCCUGAUGCAGCCAUGCCGCGUGUGUGAAGAAGGCCUUCGGGUUGUAAAGCACUUUCAGCGGGGAGGAAGGCGGUGAGGUUAAUAACCUCACCGAUUGACGUUACCCGCAGAAGAAGCACCGGCUAACUCCGUGCCAGCAGCCGCGGUAAUACGGAGGGUGCAAGCGUUAAUCGGAAUUACUGGGCGUAAAGCGCACGCAGGCGGUCUGUCAAGUCGGAUGUGAAAGCCCCGGGCUCAACCUGGGAACUGCAUUCGAAACUGGCAGGCUAGAGUCUUGUAGAGGGGGGUAGAAUUCCAGGUGUAGCGGUGAAAUGCGUAGAGAUCUGGAGGAAUACCGGUGGCGAAGGCGGCCCCCUGGACAAAGACUGACGCUCAGGUGCGAAAGCGUGGGGAGCAAACAGGAUUAGAUACCCUUGUAGUC